UACGGAGGGUGCGAGCGUUGUCCGGAAUCAUUGGGCGUAAAGGGCGCGUAGGUGGCGCGGCAAGCGUGCGGUGAAAGCUCGGGGCUCAACCCCGAGUCGGCCGUGCGAACUGCUGGGCUUGAGCACUGUAGAGGCAGGCGGAAUUCCGGGUGUAGCGGUGGAAUGCGUAGAGAUCCGGAAGAACACCGGUGGCGAAGGCGGCCUGCGUGGGCAGUAGCUGACACUGAGGCGCGACAGCGUGGGGAGCAAACAGG
rnacentral:rRNA from 1 species